GGAUGAACGCUAGCGGCAGGCCUAAUACAUGCAAGUCGAACGGUGGUAGCAAUACCAUAGUGGCGCACGGGUGCGUAACGCGUAACCAACCUGCCCGAAACUGGGGGAUAGCCCGCCGAAAGGCGGAUUAAUACCGCAUAUACUCGCAGCCUGGCAUCAGGUAACGAGGAAAGAUUUAUUGGUUUCGGAUGGGGUUGCGUGACAUUAGCUAGUUGGCGGGGUAACGGCCCACCAAGGCGACGAUGUCUAGGGGACCUGAGAGGGUGAUCCCCCACACUGGCACUGAGAUACGGGCCAGACUCCUACGGGAGGCAGCAGUAGGGAAUAUUGGGCAAUGGACGAGAGUCUGACCCAGCCAUGCCGCGUGCCGGAUGAAGGCCUUCUGGGUUGUAAACGGCUUUUCUCAGGGAAGAAAACGGGUAUGCGUACCACACUGACGGUACCUGAGGAAUAAGCACCGGCUAACUCCGUGCCAGCAGCCGCGGUAAUACGGAGGGUGCAAGCGUUGUCCGGAUUUAUUGGGUUUAAAGGGUGCGUAGGCGGCCCGUUAAGUCCGGGGUGAAAGCCCACUGCUCAACAGUGGAACUGCCCUGGAUACUGGCGGGCUUGAGUCCAGACGAGGUUGGCGGAAUGGAUGCUGUAGCGGUGAAAUGCAUAGAUAGCAUCCAGAACCCCGAUUGCGAAGGCAGCUGACUAGGCUGGUACUGACGCUGAGGCACGAAAGCGUGGGGAGCGAACAGGAUUAGAUACCCUGGUAGUCCACGCCGUAAACGAUGGGUACUCGCUGGUGGCGAUAGACUGUCACUGGCUUAGGGAAAC
rnacentral:rRNA from 1 species